ACAGGCUACUUCUCCUAAUUAAGAUCUCAUUCAGAAGAUGCCUUCUGGCAGGGCAAUUAAAAUGAAAAGGGAAUGAAUGUGCUUGUUUGGAGUAAAUAUAAACAGCUGCAAGGCUACACCUUGGGAAGCAAUUUUAAAGUUAGGAAAGUUCUGUAGUGGGAGAGGAAAAGAUUUUCUCACCUGCUUUUUGUGUUUGUUUUUACAAAAAGCUUGCUACCAUUUGGGGUAGCUAAAGACUGUGGUAUUCUUAUAAAUCACUGGGGUUGAAUUGAAAGGGCUUUUUCAUUUGGCAACAAGAGAAAGAUUUGGAUUUAGUUGUGAAAAUUGAGAUGCUUCCGGAAAUCAAGUCUAUUAAAUCUUAUCCUGUUUGAUGGAGGCAGAAAGCACCCCAAGUGCUCGCAGUGGAAGAUGUGUGGCCAGCACUUGACCCUGCUCUGGUUCCUGCUUCCAUCAUCUGGGACCUCUGGCUUACCUCCUUAGCUAUCCCACCUUCAGAAGAGGUCUUUGCCUUGCUGGGCGUACCCACUCCUGCUCUGCCAUGGUUCAUGUAGUAAAGCUCAACUACUUGUGGAUGGAGGAGUCAAACCAGUGUUUUCUAGAGACUUUUCCCAUCCCAGAGAGGUUUGUUCUGAGAUGGUUCAUCUAAAGGUACACAGAGAAAUGGUACGUGGCAGAAGGACUAGCCAAAGAGCACCAGAGUCACCAAAAGCCUCAGAUGUAGCCUGAGACAGCAGAGAAAUUACCACAAUGCAGGGAAAAGAGCCAAAAGGUGAAAUUAAAUUCCAGUUUGAAUGCUUACAAGGUCCUGAACUGCACAGAUGCUUAUUCUGUACUGUGACCCUUUGCUGAUCAUAACAGUUCAUCUGCUCAGGACAGCUAUUCUCAAAAGAUGUAAAACAGCAAACUUUGUAUUUCCUGAUGAAGAUACAAUGGAAGAUUUCAUAUAACUCUAGUGAGAUGAGGUUCAUGCUCAGUUGUUUUCUUCUGUAAAUAAGAAAAUCUUUUAUACAUAUUGUAGAAAAAAAUAUAUUGAGUCUUGAUGGCAUAGAAGUCUACCCUCUUUUAUAAAACAUUGAAACCAUUACAUAUUACGAGUGAUUGUCUAAUAUGUCAUAAAAAUAUUUUACCAUGAGUAUUUUGCAGAUAUGGUUAUAUGUUUAUUGUGGUAAUUGGGAUCUGGAAAGUUUUCCUUAAGUCUCUUUAUUAAAGGCUUAGUAGACGUUUUUAUUACAUUUUAGGGGAAAACUAUGGCCUACUCCCUUACAGCACAGUCUAAGUUCAAUAAAAGCUGAUCCCUGGAAUUCACUGUUAACUCACG